UACGGGGGGAGCAAGCGUUGUUCGGAUUUACUGGGCGUAAAGGGCGCGUAGGCGGCCACCGCAAGUCAGUUGUGAAAUCUCUGGGCUUAACCCAGAACGGUCAGCUGAUACUGCGGGGCUAGAGUGCAGAAGGGGCAACUGGAAUUCUCGGUGUAGCGGUGAAAUGCGUAGAUAUCGAGAGGAACACCUGCGGCGAAGGCGGGUUGCUGGGCUGACACUGACGCUGAUAGCGCGAAAGCUAGGGGAGCGAACGGG
rnacentral:rRNA from 1 species